UACGAAGGGGGCGAGCGUUGUUCGGAUUUACUGGGCGUAAAGGGCGCGUAGGCGGCCCUCCUUGUCGCGUUGUGAAAGCCCCGGGCUCAACCUGGGAAUUGCGCGCGAAACGGGGGGGCUUGAGUUCGGGAGAGGAGCGUGGAAUUCCCGAGUGUGAGAGGUAGAAAUUCGUAAGUAUUGGGAAGAACACCGGUGGCGAAGGCG
rnacentral:rRNA from 1 species